CGCAGGACCCUGCCCAAUCGUCAAUGCGACGUCCUCCUACUCCCACCUCAGAGCUGUCACAGAGACUGUCAGUUCCGUCCCUCCCCUUCAGCCCUUUAACGCACGUCUUCCCGACCGCAUAACUUGCUCAGUCCCUGCGGCCAACUGGGGCGGGCCAAUGGCUGUGACGGAUAAGGGGUGUGGGGUGCGGGGACAAUGGGCCAGAGCUUCUCAUGCAGCCUGCACCAGCGCCGGGUCGGAGAGUCAGAGGCCACCCUGAGAUGGACCGAGAUCUUCAGUUGGGGAGGCGCCUCCGGUGAGCUUGCGGCCAGAUGCCCCCUCAGUAGUCCUCCGCAACAGGUGCCGCGCAGCCGAGUGGCGGGCUAGCAUACCGCCUGCCCGCAAUUCGGCCAGGCCUCGAGCCUGCUCCGCCUUCCCGCUGCGGUAGCGCCGCCGGGGAAACGCCGCCACGGGCUGCAUGGGCAGCGCUCGCGCCCCGCCGCUGAGCCGCCGGGGAGCCGUCCAGUCUUCGAAUCCCAGAAACACAAAGAUGGUGCAGACCCAGGCCCUGCUUUGACUGGGAGAAAGAUGCAUUCAGUUGACUAAAACUUGAAGGGCUCCCUGGAGACUGAACCCAGGGCUGAGGGCUCUCAGCACAGAGG
rnacentral:lncRNA from 10 species